rnacentral:rRNA from 1 species
GCAGCCGCGGUAAUACGGAGGAUGCGAGCGUUAUCCGGAUUUAUUGGGUUUAAAGGGAGCGUAGACGGGAUGUUAAGUCAGUUGUGAAAGGCUGCGGCUCAACCGCAGCACUGCAGUUGAUACUGGCGUCCUUGAGUCCGUUUGAGGUAUGUGGAAUUCGUGGUGUAGCGGUGAAAUGCUUAGAUAUCACGAAGAACUCCUAUUGCGAAGGCAGCAUACUAAGCCGGAACUGACGUUGAGGCUCGAAAGUGUGGGUAUCAAACAGGAUUAGAUACCCC